GUUUGGUCAUCUGCUUGACUUGUGCUAGGCACUGUGAUGUGCAGAAUAUGUCAUUGUGACAGCUGCGUCCUCGAGGGUCAGGUUAGGUAGGUGGACACUUCUAAUCUUUAGCCCCUCCCUUCUUAGUAGAGUGGGAGUGGGGGACGGAGAGGCCAGAGCCCAGUUGGUGGGAAUUCCCGAAGGCUUCCCUCAUCCUUUUCUUUCUCCUUGCUUGCUUCUAUUCACGUUUUCUGUCUCCUGCAGCCCAUGGGAUCAGACCCUGCGCUGAGCUCCUUCACUGUGUGUCUGUUGCUGAAGUAAAUGCAAGCCCUGUCCUUUCCAGAGCAGGAAAGGGGAGUAAAGUUUUCCUCCUGGGGUCAUUUCACCCUUGUUCUCUAUCUCUCUCUCUCUCUGUCUCCUACAGAGACUCUGCAGGGAAACACAGGUGUAGGUAAUGUCAAAGGACAUCCAACUUGUGUUCUAGGACCACAGCCUCGCCCUUCUGUCGUGGCCCCCACUGGGUGAGGAGAGCGCCCCGGCCACACCAGGGGUCAGUUGUCGAUGGAAAGGAAUAGACGUGCAAGUGUGCAUUUACUGUUUGUUCUGUCACUUACCAGCCAUUUGAGAAGUCCUGGGUGCUGUGAGGUGGACUGUGCAGUAAUUUGAAGGGUGGGGAGGGGUAAGAGGGCUGUUGCAUAGAAGUCUAGCCUUAGAGUAACACAUUUGAAUUUUGGAUAAACGGGUGGCAACGGCCAUGCUGGUUUCCUUCAUAUAUUGUUAGCCUUUUCCUGGCUGGGAAAAAAGCAUUUGCCUAAUUUUAGAACACAUCAGUCAUUUGGUUGAAACAUCCUAUUUCCCCCAAAGUCAAGUGUUUGAAUUGUAACAACUUUGGAGGCUUGGAAAGGAUCUUCGCAUAGUCCCUGCAUGAACUCUCCUGCAUUGGAUGCCCUGUCUGAGGAGUUUGACCUAGGAGUUAGGGAAACAAUCUUUAUUUCCAAUGAAGAAUUUUAUGUAUAAACACACCUAAAGAGAAGUGUAAAAUGCUUGACCUGAGGACCUUGGGAGCAGUCUCUCAGACCCUUAAAACUUAUUCUGUAUUCUCAUUGGUGUGAUAGUGGGGCAGUAGUUUGUUGUUGUUAUUUUUUCCGGGGCAGGGGGAUUACAUAAGAUUUACCCAUUUCUCUCCCUAUCAUGCAAUAGUUACCCUUGGAUCUUACUGUGCUCCCUGAUAUAUGUGAAGGUUGAAAAUGGGCCAGAUGGGAAUUUUAAAGGCAAUGAGGGGCUUUAAUUGUUUUUUCAAAAUAGUGUAUGUACAGUAGUUCAAAAAGUCAGAUAUGUAACCACAAAGCUUAUACUAAAAGAGUUUUCUGCUCCAUUUCUUCUUACUCCUGAGUCCUGUUCCCAGAGGAAGCCAUUUCAGCUCUUCUAGCCAGAAUACUCCGGUGCCUACCUCUGUGUUUGUAAAUAACUGGUUUUUACUGCUACUUCUUGAGUUUUAGAAGAUAUUAUCUAUUGGUUUUAUACACCACAGAUAGGAUUUAGCUCUUUCAUCGGCCUGGCUCCUUGCUCCUACCCAGCUACCCUUGUUUUUCCUGGUAAUGUUACUCACAGAGCUGGCCGUCCUCACGUUCCAGACUGACUCUGGCUGUCCUCUGGACCUGCUGCAUAGCUCUCCAUCUGGGCUUGACCUUCCCCAUCAUCCUGGGAAGCCUCUCUCUCUUUCUCUCUCUCUCUUCCACCUUCUCCCCCACCUGUUUUUUUGUUUGUUCGUUUUUGUUUUUGUGGGGUUUUUUUUGGUUUGUUUUUUGGUUUUUGGUUUACUUCACUUGGUGAAACCUCUUGAGAAAUGCACAGGGAGGAAAGGUUUUGUGGCCUUGCCUGUCUCAGGAUGCCUGUCCUGUGCACACUCUUGACCAGGAGCUGGACUGGCUGUAGAAUGUUAGAUGGGACCUAAUUUUCCUUGGAAUUUUGAAGGUGGUGUUCAUUUUUUAACUUUAUCAUUGGUAUUGAGAAGUUCAUAUGCAAGGGUCUGAUUCCUGAUCCUUUGCAAAUAAACUGAAUUUUCCUUCCGAAAACUUUCAGGAGCUUCUCUUUAUCCCUUGAGUUCUAAAAUUUCAUGAAGAUAUGCCUUGGUGUGGAUUUGUUUUGUUUUAUUAAGCUAGAGGCUUGUGUAUAUUUCAGUGUGGGAAGUUCUGACCUUCUAGUCCAGAGUGUGUCUUAUAUUUUCUUCCUCUGGUAAUUUCUUUCUUUUUUAACUCAUCCCUCUCCUCUCUUCACUGUCUUUUUUUUUUUUUUUAAUGGAGUCUCGCUCUGUCACCCAGGUACAGUAGCACAAUGUUGGCUCACUGCAACCUCCGCCUCCCAGGUUCAAAUGAUUCUCCUGCUUCAGCCUCCCAGGUAGCUGGGACUACAGAUGUCUUCCCAGUGACUCUCCUUGGGGCCUGGGGAAACCACAAGGGAGCUUGGAUUCAUUCACCCAUUGCUGCCUUGCUGUGUGCCUCAGAGGGGCUCAGAGGUGGAAAAUAAAUAUGAAAAAGCAUCCUUGUCUUCUAGAAUCUCGUCGGCUGCUGGGAAGACCAAGGGGCCAGCCAUCGCAGGGAGCAUAAGCACUGAGACAGGCACACGUGCCUGCCCGGCUAUCGUAGCCAGGCUGGCAGCCUUGCAACUCCCUGGGGAAGAACAAUCUAGGAACAUUCUGGGGUGUGGAGCAGGAAGGGAGUGUCACAUGCAAAAGGCAGGAUCAGCCAAAGCAGAGGGGCUGAAGAAGCAGUGAUUCCCCCACCUAAUGUCAGAAGUAAAAUCAGUUCAUGGUGAAAAUUUGGGGAAACAAAAUCAUGCAGCAAAAUUGCCUAUUAAACCCCACACGGAGGUAAAAAUCGG
rnacentral:lncRNA from 10 species